rnacentral:lncRNA from 1 species
AUAUAUAUAAAGCAAAAGAAAAGAAAUGAAAAGAAAGAAACAGAAUACAAAUUGAAACGAAACAGGGGAGAAAGAAAGAAAGAAAAAGUAAAGAAGAAAAUUAGAGUUUUUAAGGUUCAAAAUCAAAUUGGUAAGUCAAAUUAAGUCCUUUUCUUUAAAUUUUUGAGUUUUUAUGAUUCUAGAUCAAAAUACUAGUAGGUAUAUGUUGAAAUUUUGAAAGUUAGUAGAAUUUUUUUGUAGCUUAUAUUGAAUUAGUGAUUGAAUUGAUGGAAAUCCAAACUAGGAUUGGGAAAAAUAUUAAAUUGAGAAAUAAGUUAUAAGUUUAAUGUAAAAUUGUAAGAAAUUUGAAAUUAAGGUUUAUUAGUGAAAAUUCGAGAGUUAAGUCAAGUUGUAAGUAGAAUUUAAGUAAAAAUAAGGUACAGAUUGUGAUAGAAAUAGAAAUAAUUUUAGUUAUGAAUUAAAUUGAAAUAUUAGCUAAGUUAAGAAAUUAUGAAAUUAUUAUAUCAUAUAUGUUUAUUUUUCUUAAAUAAUAUAGGAAAUUUAUUUGAUUGUUUUUCUAAUAUAUGUAUGUGUUAUGUGUUUUAUAUGAAAUUGAAGAGAAAGAAAAGAAAGGAAAGUAUCUAAUUGAAGAAAAAGGAAAAGAGAAGGCUAAGGAGUGAAGGAAAACAUCAUCUCAACCUUUUUGUUGUAAGUACUACAAGAUUAUUAUUAUUUUUUUAACUAUUUUAUUUAAAUGCCUACAUUAUAGUAUAUAUUUAUUUAAAAAUAAAAUAAAAAUAAAGUAAAAUAAAAUAUUAUGGAACCAUGAAAUUUGUAAAGAAAAUUAUAGAUGGAAAGUAUAUGGUGGUAUAUUGAUUGAACAUUAAGUAAAGGUUGUGACAGAAAAAUAUAUGUGCGUGAAAACGUGCGAUAUAUGUGUAUUGUGGAAUAAGUAGUAAAUUGUAAUGAUGAAGAAAUGAUAAGUCCUUUUUGAAAUAAUUGUAUAAAGUAUUUAAAUGAAUGAGAUUCAGUUUUAAUGCCCAAGUAGAUGGAAUUUAGAACUACCAGGAUAUUAGUGGCAUGCCAUUAAGGAACUUAUUAAGGAACUUUAGCGCGCUCUCUGAUUAUUAGCACGUUGGUGCUCUCUGAUUAUUAGCACGUUGGUGCUCUCUGAUAUUUAGCACGUCAGUGCUCUCUAUUCAGCACAUUUGUGCUCUCUGUAUUUGUUCCGUAUAUCCGGGGUGUUCUGUAAAAUCUACUUUGGGCUAAGAUUAUAAGCUGUGGACAAAAGUGAAUCAUUAAUGUGUUAAGGUAAGUCUUAUAAAGUUUAUAUGUACGGAAAUACGUAUUAACAGAAUGAAUUUGAAAUAUUUUAUUUAAAAUUUAUUUAUCUAUUUAUUCUUGUAGUGCUUACUAAGCCUUCACCGGCUUAACGCGUUUAAUUUUAACGCGUAGGUACAAUUUGACUCGAAGAGAUAAAGUCAGGAUAGAAGAUCUCUCAUCUCAUCACAUCCUCAAGAGCUUCGGAAGUAGGUACCAUAUUUUGACUUAAAAUGGCAUGUACAUAGACAGUCAGUUAUGCUUCCAUGUGUUAAGAACUAAAAUGUAAACUCUUGGACUUCUAUCUAUUUUUAAGUACUUUACGUAUUUUGGUAUAUAUAUAAAAUGAAUUAGUUAAAACUAUAUGUAUGUUUG